rnacentral:rRNA from 1 species
CAGCUGAGAAUCUUCCACAAUGGACGAAAGUCUGAUGGAGCGACAUCGCGUGAGGGAUGAAGGCCUUCGGGUUGUAAACCUCGGAAAUUAUCGAAGAAUGAGUGACAGUAGAUAAUGUAAGCCUCGGCUAACUACGUGCCAGCAGCCGCGGUAAUACGUAGGAGGCAAACGUUGCUCGGAUUUACUGGGCGUAAAGGGUGAGUAGGCGGAUUUAUAAGUCUAAGGUGAAAGACCGAAGCUCAACUUCGGGAACGCCUCGGAUACUGUAAGUCUUGGAUAUUGUAGGGGAUGAUGGAAUUCUCGGUGUAGCGGUGGAAUGCGCAGAUAUCGAGAGGAACACCUAUAGCGAAGGCAGUCAUCUGGGCAUUUAUCGACGCUGAAUCACGAAAGCUAGGGGAGCAAACAGGCUUAGAUACCCUGGUAGUCCUAGCCGUAAACGUUGUACACUAGGUGCUUCUAUUUAAAUAGGAGUGCCGUAGCUAACGUCUUAAGUGUACCGCCUGAGGAGUAUGCCCGCAAGGGUG